rnacentral:lncRNA from 1 species
GUGGACUAGCAAAAUUACUAAGAUACUGAGUACUUAAAGUUACUUAUAAAAUACCGCUUAAAGAUAUCAACAUCUGUUCAUCUGUAAAGCACUCUAGAAGUUGUUUGCAAUUUUUACUGACAACUAAGUGAAAUAUAAAGAUAAAACAUUUGGAUCUUUGAUGAGCUUCAAUUAGAAAUGUUUUUUUCCAGAAUAUAUCAUUUUUCUAAUGAUAAAUGGUUUAGAUUGUGUUAAUAUUUCUGUUCCACAAUUGUAUUAUUUCCUUUUGCCCAUAGACUUUUUAUUCAUGCAUUUCUUCAAAAAAUAAAUAUUAUAUUGUUUCAUCCCAAUGCUUAUAUGGAGGCCCAGGAGGCUCUGCAUCCCAACCCCUCUGUUUUCUGUCUUACCUGCCAGGUCAGGAUGAGAAAUGCCAUUGGGCUUAUUGAGGCAGGGAUGGUGAGUCUAGCUUUCAGUUUCCUGUACCUGGCUGACAUGAUUUUCUUCACCGUCACUUGCUCUGGCUGGUAUUUGUAUCCAUAUAGAAAAAUAUAAACAUAACAAAAGCUUUGGACAAAUGAAAUCAAAUUCUAAUUCUAUUAGAAGGCACCUGAUGUCAUUCUCUUAAUGACUUUUUAGAGUAUUACUGCACAAAUACCCUCCACCAGGGGGUAGGGGAGGAAGCCUGUAUUCUCCUCUGUCUGCAUAUCUAGUACUUUGCUAGUGGCUGACUUGGUGCUCCAUAAACAUGCCGUUUCUUCCUGACACUUUCAUUUUCUUAAGCCCAUUAACAGCAUGAGAUAGACACAUAUGGGUGGAUUCCCAAGUCAGAUGCUUUGUUCUGAAACUAUCUUUAAAAUCUACUGUAGACUGAUUUUCAGACCAUUUUCCAGUGAUGGAAACAGGCUCUCCCUGUGAAUUUAUGCAGCCUUGUUUCCCCUAACGUUUCACCCAAAAUGAGGUUAGCCCUGGAAAUUCCAGUGUCCCUUAGCUACAGGGGCCCUCCACUGAGAAUGGCUUACUCCUAUGUGUGGUACAAGUAUUAUGUUUGUUGCCUGUUCACAUCCCAGGAAAAAUACUGAUUUCUGCUCCUGAAGUCAUAAAAGAUUAUUCAAUCAUAAGCCUUAUGUUUGGGAUUAUCUUCAACUAUAAGCGGCUGCACACAUUCAGCUUGUUCUUCCUGACUGAAGGGUCCAGAAGCAGACAGUCUAUGGGUGGGAGGGUAACUCACAAUGUCACCAGGGACCCAGUUCCUUUUCAUUUCUACUCAGUCAUCCUUGGCACAGGCGUGGUACUCUGUGUUACAAGAGGGCUGUUUGGUCCACCAGCAGCAAGAGGAAGGGAAAGGGGCAAUGGGCAAAGAUGACAUGUCUAUUGGCAAACUCUUCUAAAGAGAUUUCCCAGAGGCAGGACGAACUUCUCACCCAAAAUUUGGUUCAGAUGUUGAGACUGAUGAUACCAUAUAUGAAUCCACUAAGAAAGUAUGGAAAGGUUUAUUGCUUACAUAAUGAUCCAAAAAUAGCUUUAGAAUCCAGAGAAGAGAGACUGGCUUGGCGUUUAUUGUGGGUAGAGAUGAGGCUGGGGUGAAGGCUUUUGCACAGGGGUAGAGGCUUGUGGGGUUUAAAUUUCCCACCAAUUCCAAAGGAGGGAGCACCUGGGCCUUCUUUUCAGCUUCCUGGAUAUGGAACAAAAGGAGAAGAGGGAGUAAUGAGAUUUGAAUGCAGCCAGACAUCAGAAAUGUAGUCAGACUCUUUAUUGCACUGUCUCAAUACCCUUCUCCUGGCAUCUUACAGCAGGCUGAGAAAUGUGGUGUUUUAGUGGCCACAAUGGAGGGCUGUUAGCACAGGAGUGCAGGAUGGAGGUGAGCGGGGGGGCAGGCAGCAGACUCUGCCAGCCCAGCCAUCUCGUCUUUCCUGCUGACCUCCAUUCAAAGAUGAAAAGUGACCUUGGCUUAAAAAUAAUUCUGCAGUUGAAAAGCAAGUCACUUGGGAAGAUCUGCAAGUUAAAGCCCUACCAAUAGUUUUCAAAUAUGACAAUAAAUGUCUGGGUGGUGAUGAAGGGUGACUUGCAGAAGCACCAUUUUCCAUUGAGAAGGUGGUUAUUGGCUUGCUAUUAAUCUCUGGUUCCAUCUUAGUCCCUGCACACCCUAGGAUUCAAGGACUCAAGUAAGUUGGGGAGGGGAACAUCUUUUCACCCCUGGAAAACCUUGUCUCCUCCCAAGCCCUGGGAGGGGAGAACUGCUGCUAAUGAGAUGCUGGUAGUUAGUCUUGUAAUUUUUACAGUAUUAUCUGCAGAAUGAAUGACUACCAGCAGGUACUCUGAAUCUCUUUUCUUUCUAAUAAGAUGUAAUCAACGAACCAGAUUGUGGCCUUGGAGCUGACCAAAGGAUCAGCUAAAGGAAUUGGACACAUCCUGAGCUAGUUAACACAUGGGUAUUGUCGGUCUAAGAUGCUCUUUAGGGGCUAGUGACUCAUUCAUGAUGUGCAGGAAAUGGCACAGACACCUCCAUGACCACAGAAGGUUUCUACAGGCGCCGUCAUCACAGGGUCUACAAACAGAAGGAAGUCAGAGAGAGAGGCUCAGGGGAAGGCAAGGCGGGGCUGGAGACCUGGAUUCUACGUCGGAGUUUACCGCAUCCUGGUUCUAUUCCCAAAGUCCUCUCUGUGUGGCCAUAUGCCUGAUUCUCAGCCUGUACAGUUGAUUCAGAGUUAAACCACAAUAAGACAACAAUAGAAGAGGUGGGGGGUAAUACAAGCCAGCAUGCCACACAUUGAUGAAUGAUCCGGCGAGGCUUUCAAAGCAAGGCGGGAUUACUCUGGUUGCAGUGGGCUGGAGAAGGUAACUGUACUUAGCAGAUAUUGCUUUUCUAUUUGCCAGCCCACACUGUCAACAGUGGAAAACAGUCAUUAUCAUAUCCCUUCUUUGACGGGAAUUGCCACAAAAUAGUUCACUUGGUAAAAGCCUGUCUGAGGUGAACCAGGAACAAACGGUGUGUAUUUAACAUGU